CAGCCGCCGCGGUAAAACGUAGGGUGCGAGCGUUAAUCGGAUUUACUGGGCGUAAAGCGUGCGUAGGCGGCUUUUUAAGUCGGAUGUGAAAUCCCUGAGCUUAACUUAGGAAUUGCAUUCGAUACUGGGAAGCUAGAGUAUGGGAGAGGAUGGUAGAAUUCCAGGUGUAGCGGUGAAAUGCGUAGAGAUCUGGAGGAAUACCGAUGGCGAAGGCAGCCAUCUGGCCUAAUACUGACGCUGAGGUACGAAAGCAUGGGGAGCAAACAGGAUUAGAGACCCCUGUAGUCCCUGUCUCUUAUAC
rnacentral:rRNA from 1 species